UGGCUCAGUUGGUAGAGCAUGGUGUUUGCAACGCCAGGAUUGUGGGUUCCAUUCCCAC
rfam:Salmo salar isolate Sally breed double haploid chromosome ssa01, whole genome shotgun sequence.